UUCGGCUGCUCGAGUUGUAAUCUAGAGAAGUGUUUUCCGUGCCGGCCCAUGUACAAGUCCCUUGGAACAGGGCGUCAUAGAGGGUGAGAAUCCCGUCCUUGACAUGGACCCCCGGUGCUCUGUGAUACACUUUCAACGAGUCGAGUUGUUUGGGAAUGCAGCUCAAAAUGGGUGGUGAAUUCCAUCUAAAGCUAAAUAUUGGCGAGAGACCGAUAGCGAACAAGUACCGUGAGGGAAAGAUGAAAAGCACUUUGGAAAGAGAGUUAAACAGUACGUGAAAUUGUUGAAAGGGAAACGAUUGAAGUCAGUCAUGCUCUUUGGUAUUUAUAUCAUUGAGUGGGGUCAACAUCAGUUUUGAGCGAUGGAUAAAGGCACUAGGAAGGUAGCACUCUCGGGUGAACUUAUAGCCUAGCGUCAUAUACAUUGUUUGGGACUGAGGAACGCAGCAUGCCUUUAUGGCCGGGAUUCGUCCACGUACAUGCUUAGGAUGUUGACAUAAUGGCUUUAAACGACCCGUCUUGAAACACGGAC
rnacentral:rRNA from 1 species